CACACACACACACACACACACAUGUCUGGUUUGCUAUCCUCGUGGGGACAUCCCAUUGACAUAAUGCUUUCCCUAGCCCCUUACCCUAACCCUAACCAUUAAAAAUGAAUGCCUAACCCUAACCCUUACCCUAAACCUAACCAUAACCUAAUUGUAACCCUGACAGUAAAACCGCAUUUUGAGUGUGAAAAUUGCUUUCAACCCCAAGGGGACCUGGAUUUUGGUCCCCACGGUGCAGAAAGUCCCCACCAGGAUAGUAAAAGUCAGAUUUUGGUCCCCACCAGGAUAGUACGAACCCGUACACACAUACACACACACACACACACACACACACACACACACACACACGUGUGUGUUAGUUUAGUCUGUUUCAACCUCUCUUCGUGUGGAAACACACAUAUCUAGAACUAUUCUUUAAGGAUGUCUGCAUUUCACACAACUGUCUAAUAGGAUAAAAUAAUUGACAUUGUAUACCCAAAGGUCAAGUCUGGAUAAACGUGUAUAUGAUCUCCAACUUGAAUGCAAAGCCAAGGCAUAUAAUUGUGUGGUGUGUCAACUCUAAUUUGUUUCCUCUCUGUGCAGGGGGAUGACUGAAGCUAUCACCUUGCUAAUCCUUGCUGUCCAAACUGGCCUCAUUGAGCUGCAGGAGUUUGUGGAAGCACUUCCGUGCAGUUUCUCUCUGUCCCUUCCUGCUGACCUUUCCAGCGUACAUGGCUUAUAUGAUCUGCCAGUUCUUCCACAUGGACUUCUGGCUUCUCAUCAUCAUCUCCUCCUCAAUCCUCACCUCUCUCCAGGUGCUUGGCACUCUGUUGAUCUGUUGUUCACUUCAUGGUGGAGGAGUUUCGUAAAGCUCCAGUGGAGAACGUGGAUGAAGUCAUAUAUUGUGUAAAUGGGACCUACAGAUGCUGGAGUUUCUGGUUGCGGUGUGCGUGGUGUGCUAUGG